AGGAUAGAGGCCUACCGUGGUGGUAACGGGUAACGGGGUGUUAGGGCACGACACCGGAGAGGGAGCCUGAGAAACGGCUACCACAUCCAAGGAUGGCAGCAGGCGCGCAAAUUACCCAAUCCCGACACGGGGAGGUAGUGACAAUAAAUAACAAUACGGGGUUCUUUAGGAUCUCGUAAUUGGAAUGAGUACAAUUUAAAUCUCUUAACGAGGAACAAUUGGAGGGCAAGUCUGGUGCCAGCAGCCGCGGUAAUUCCAGCUCCAAUAGCGUAUAUUAAAGUUGUUGCAGUUAAAAAGCUCGUAGUUGAAUUUCGGGGUUAGUAGGUUGGUCAUGCCUCUGGUAUGUACUGGUCUCACUGAUUCCUCCUUCCUUAUGAACCGUAAUGCCAUUAAUUUGGUGUUGCGGGGAAUUUGGACUGUUACUUUGAAAAAAUUAGAGUGUUUAAAGCAAGCUAACGCUUGAAUACAUUAGCAUGGAAUAAUGAAAUAGGACGUUCGAUCUUAUUUUGUUGGUUUCUAGGAUUGACGUAAUGAUUAAUAGGGAUAGUUGGGGGCAUUAGUAUUCAAUUGUCAGAGGUGAAAUUCUUGGAUUUAUUGAAGACUAACUACUGCGAAAGCAUUUGCCAAGGAUGUUUUCAUUAAUCAAGAACGAAAGUUAGGGGAUCGAAGACGAUCAGAUACCGUCGUAGUCUUAACCAUAAACUAUGCCGACUAGGGAUCGGAUGA
rnacentral:rRNA from 1 species